rnacentral:rRNA from 1 species
CUACGGGACGCUGCAGUCGAGAAUCUUCCGCAAUGGGCGAAAGCCUGACGGAGCGACGCCGCGUGGUUGAUGAAGUCUUUCGAGACGUAAAAACCUUUUAUGAUUAGGAAAGUUUAUUGAUCCGAUCAUGAAUAAGGGGCUGCUAACUCUGUGCCAGCAGCAGCGGUAAUACAGAGGCCCCAAGCGUUGUCCGGAAUCACUGGGCGUAAAGGGUGUGUAGGCGGCACUGUUAGUCAAUCUUUAAAACCUGAGGCCCAACCUCAGAUCUGGGAUUGAAACGGCAGAGCUAGAGGGUGCGAGAGGUAUAUGGAACUCAUGGAGGAGGGGUGAAAUCCGUUGAUAUCAUGGGGAACACCAAAAGCGAAGGCAAUAUACUGGCGCAUUCCUGACGCUGAGACACGAAAGCGUAGGUAGCGAACGGGAUUAGAUACCCUAGUAGUC